GCACCAGUGGUCUAGUGGCAGAAUUCGGGCUUCCCAAGCCUGAGAUGCGGGUUCGAUACCAAGCCCUUCCUUUGCCAAAGAAAGGCCUAGGUUUUAUCCCAAAGAAAGCGUUACCAUAGAACGCGGCGAAAUUCCCGCCUGGUGCA
rnacentral:tRNA from 1 species